AAUGAUUGAAAAAUCAGUAUUUUUUCACCCAAAGGCAUGAGUGAACAUUUGAUAAGUUUAUUGUGAUUUAAUUGGUAAUUUGGUCGACAUUUUGACAAUUAUAUUUAGCAAUAUUUCGAUAAAUGCGGACCUGCUUCUUCCUCUUUUCGCAGUGACGGUGUUUCGAUAACUCAGUUAGACUUCGAGAUCUACAUUUUCGACAAAGGCCUGGUGUAAUAUUAUUACGUACUUGAUGAAGGUAAUAUUAAUUUCUUCAAAUUUGAAGCAUGACGUUAAUGGAGUACCAGCACAACUUCAUUGACUGCUACGUGGCGCUGGUGGAAACUAAGGUUUAAUGACACGAAUGAGUACAAGUACAUUACAUUUUUCGACGAAGGCCUUCUGUAAUUUCAUACGCUUCUUACGCAACAUUCAAUAGAUUUAUUUACUGUAUUAUCAUUUCGACCAAGGCGAAUUCGACACUUCAAUUACACAAGGUUAGUAACUUUUGUUCACAAAAUCCAAAUGGAGGCAAAUACAGAACAAUCAAACUUAGUCAUUCCAGUCAGUUACUGAAGCACAGUGAAAACUGUCGGGAGCAGUGCAACUGAUGGCAUGUCAAACUUCCAGUGACUGUCCCUGUCCAUAUAUUUCAAGACAGUACAAAUCUUGUAAUCAUUUUGUUUAUGCAAUGUACGUUAUUAUGUAUCAUUUCAGCACAAUCAAACUUAGUCAUUCCAGUCAGUUACUGAAGCACAGCGAAAACUGUCUGAAUUAGUGCUGCUGGUGGCAUGUAAUUACUCUACUACCACUACCAGUGACAGUCAAUGUCCAAAUAUUUUCAAGUGUGCGAAAUUAGUACUCGUCUACUUCUUAGUGUUAUUUGAAUGCAAUGUAUGUUAUAAAAAUAUUUUUUCAACACUAUAUCAACAUUCUCAUUCCUGUCAGUUUCUGAAAAUCAGCUAAAGCAAUCGCUACCAAUGCAGCUGAUAACAGCAAUUCUUUUUGUUCCCAAUGCCCAUCCAUGACAAUAUAUUUCACGCAUGUGACAAUCAUGUAAUCAUCCUGUUUUUUGUGUUCUAUUCAUGCAAUAAAUAAAUUCAGUAUUUUCAAAUCAUUGGUGCUACAAAACUAUUCUCAUUAUAGAUUAUUCAUAUUUUAUAAAAUGCUGUCAUGUCAAAUUUUGUGUCCUAUAAAUCAUAAUGAAGUCGGCAUUUUAUAUACAACUUUUGUACUCCUC